rnacentral:rRNA from 1 species
GACGUAGGGCGCGAGCGUUGUCCGGAAUUAUUGGGCGUAAAGGGCUCGUAGGCGGUUUGUCGCGUCGGGAGUGAAAUCCUACGGCUUAACUGUGGGCUUGCUUUCGAUACGGGCAGACUAGAGGUAUGCAGGGGAGAACGGAAUUCCUGGUGUAGCGGUGAAAUGCGCAGAUAUCAGGAGGAACACCGGUGGCGAAGGCGGUUCUCUGGGCAUGAUCUGACGCUGAGGAGCGAAAGUGUGGGGAGCGAACAGG